rnacentral:rRNA from 1 species
UACGUAGGGUGCGAGCGUUAAUCGGAAUUACUGGGCGUAAAGCGUGCGCAGGCGGUUUUGUAAGCCAGAUGUGAAAUCCCCGGGCUCAACCUGGGAACUGCGUUUGAAACUGGGAGACUUGAGUGUGGCAGAGGGGGGUGGAAUUCCACGUGUAGCAGUGAAAUGCGUAGAUAUGUGGAGGAACACCAAUGGCGAAGGCAGCCCCCUGGGUCAACACUGACGCUCAUGCACGAAAGCGUGGGGAGCAAACAGG